rnacentral:tRNA from 2 species
UUAUUGUUAUUUUGGCAGAUUAGUGCAUUAAAUUUAGAAUUUAAUUAUGUUUAAAAACAAAUAAUAC